ACGCUGGCGGCGUGCCUAAUACAUGCAAGUCGAGCGGACAGAAGGGAGCUUGCUCCCGGAUGUUAGCGGCGGACGGGUGAGUAACACGUGGGUAACCUGCCUGUAAGACUGGGAUAACUCCGGGAAACCGGAGCUAAUACCGGAUAGUUCCUUGAACCGCAUGGUUCAAGGAUGAAAGACGGUUUCGGCUGUCACUUACAGAUGGACCCGCGGCGCAUUAGCUAGUUGGUGGGGUAAUGGCUCACCAAGGCGACGAUGCGUAGCCGACCUGAGAGGGUGAUCGGCCACACUGGGACUGAGACACGGCCCAGACUCCUACGGGAGGCAGCAGUAGGGAAUCUUCCGCAAUGGACGAAAGUCUGACGGAGCAACGCCGCGUGAGUGAUGAAGGUUUUCGGAUCGUAAAGCUCUGUUGUUAGGGAAGAACAAGUGCGAGAGUAACUGCUCGCACCUUGACGGUACCUAACCAGAAAGCCACGGCUAACUACGUGCCAGCAGCCGCGGUAAUACGUAGGUGGCAAGCGUUGUCCGGAAUUAUUGGGCGUAAAGGGCUCGCAGGCGGUUUCUUAAGUCUGAUGUGAAAGCCCCCGGCUCAACCGGGGAGGGUCAUUGGAAACUGGGAAACUUGAGUGCAGAAGAGGAGAGUGGAAUUCCACGUGU
rnacentral:rRNA from 1 species